rnacentral:pre_miRNA from 1 species
CAACUACUCCCUCUGUCCCAAAUUUCUUGUCUUAGAUUUGUCUAGAUACGGAUGUAUCUGUGACUUGAUACAUCCGUAUCUAGAAAAAUCUAAGAUAAGAAUUUUGUGACGGAGGGAGUACUUU